rnacentral:autocatalytically_spliced_intron from 1 species
AAAGAUAUAGUCUGCGCUUCUAGUGAUAGGA